UGGUGAACGAGGCAUUUGUGGAGCUGCUGGAGGCAGUGCGUCAGGACCAUUCAGGUCUGAAGGUUCAGUACCAGGGGGUUACGGGCUCUAUCACCAGGACCAAAAAACCCUCCAUCGCACUCAACAUCAUACAGGACUUCCUUACAGAGCGAAAGGAGGGCCUGGUAGAACUGUUCCAGAGUUUGGAUAAAGAGGGAACCAUGUCUGUGACCAACAAGGAGUUCAGGAAGGCUGUGCAGGUCUGACGCCACGAGCAGCCCACUGACAGAGUGACUAGUCACUGUUUCACAGUCUCCCAAGUGAUUGAACAUGACAAGAUCAAUCAAUCAACCAAUCAACAAGAUCAAUCAACCAACCAAUCAGUCAAUCAAUCAACAAAUCAAUUAAUGUAUAUAAUUUUGAAUAUGAUGGUAUAGAUAACAAUUUUGUUUGUGUAUUGCAGCAAGCUAACAUACCCCUGGAUCAACAACAGCUGGAGUGGCUGAUCCAGAACUUUGACAAGGACUGUACAGGCAGGAUAAAUUACAGGUGGGUCAGGCAGGAUAAACUACAGGUGUGUCAGGCAGGAUAAACUACAGGUGUGUCAGGCAGGAUAAACUACAGGUGUGUCAGGCAGGAUAAACUACAGGUGUGUCAGGCAGGAUAAACUACAGGUGUGUCAGGCAGGAUAAACUACAGGUGUGUCAGGCAGGAUAAACUACAGGUGUGUCAGGCAGGAUAAACUACAGGUGUGUCAGGCAGGAUAAACUACAGGUGUGUCAGGCAGGAUAAACUGCAGGUGGGUCAGGCAGGAUAAACUACAGGUGUGUCAGGCAGGAUAAACUACAGGUGUGUCAGGCAGGAUAAACUACAGGUGUGUCAGGCAGGAUAAACUACAGGUGUGUCAGGCAGGAUAAACUACAGGUGUGUCAGGCAGGAUAAACUACAGGUGUGUCAGGCAGGAUAAACUACAGGUGUGUCAGGCAGGAUAAACUACAGGCAGGGUCAGGCAGGAUAAACUACAGGUGUGUCAGGCAGGAUAAACUACAGGUGUGCCAGGCAGGAUAAACUGCAGGUGGGUCAGGCAGGGUAAACUACAGGUGUGUCAGGCAGGAUAAACUACAGGUGUGUCAGGCAGGAUAAACUACAGGUGGGUCAGGCAGGAUAAACUACAGGUGUGUCAGGCAGGAUAAACUACAGGUGUGUCAGGCAGGAUAAACUACAGGUGUGUCAGGCAGGAUAAACUACAGGCAGGGUCAGGCAGGAUAAACUACAGGUGUGUCAGGCAGGAUAAACUACAGAUGUGUCAGGCAGGGUCAGGCAGGAUAAACUACAGGUGUGUCAGGCAGGAUAAACUACAGGUGUGUCAGGCAGGAUAAACUACAGGUGGGUCAGGCAGGAUAAACUACAGGUGGGUCAGGCAGGAUAAAAUGCAGUUGUGUCAGUCAGGAUAAACUACAGGUGUGUCAGGCAGGAUAAACUACAGGUGGGUCAGGCAGGGUAAAAUACAGGUGUGUCAGGCAGGAUAAACU